UCCCCUGUGCAUUUAUACCUGUGUUCUCUGUUUGUCUGUUGCCAGUUCAUCUUGUCUCGUCAAGCCUACCAGCUUGUUUUUCGUACUCCUGUUUUCUUGAGCCCCUGUUUUCCGGUUUUGAUCAUUCUGCCUGCCCUGAGCCUGCCUGCCAUUCUGUAUGAAUGAACGAAUAGGAGUCGAAACUUCCCGAUUCUACCGGUGGAACGAAAAAUGUGUGAGUUCUAGCUUGUGGUUUGGAUAAUGUUGAUGUUUAUGAUUUUUUUUAAAUGUUGUCAACAUAGUAAUAACUAUAUGCCGUGGCAGAGCCAGGGUGAAAUUCCCCUUUAACGGCCACGAACACAGUGCUGUGUACUGUAUUUCAGUGCUCCUAGUGAAGGACAGUGUGAAGCACGCUCAUUCCCUCUCUACACUACAAAAACCUUCUCUCAUUCACUCAGUAGAUUAUACUGAAGCAACACCUCCCCUUACAGCUGCAUUUGAGGUCUGCAUACAUCACUGAUGAGGUCACUUCCUUGCUCUCCUCUCUACUCAGUAAAGAUGAGAUAUCAGUUUGGUUUUCAACAAUCAUUGAGAGUCAACAUGUACAAACCUCUUAUCAUUAUCACAGUCCCCCUCUUCUGGAUCACAGGUGUCUCUCUCAGUAAAGUAGUGUACCAGUCUCCCUCUACACUGCUGGUAGAGCCUAAUGCGUCUGUCUCUGUCCCACUCAGCUGCAGUCAUAAAAUCCCUAGCUAUAACACUAUCCUCUGGUACCAGCGUCCUGUGGGAGACACAGCUCUGAAACUCAUAGCAUAUGUAUACAUUACAAGUCAGACUGUUGAACCGUCAUAUAAAGGUUACUUUGACGUGAAAGGUGAUGGAAGGAACGAAGCCUUCCUUCAUCUCCUCAAACUGAGACAAGCUGAAGACAGCGGGGAGUAUUUCUGUGCUGCUAGUUAUGCACAGUGUUACAGAGGCCCAGUCUACUCUACAAAAACCUCUACCUAUCAGACCCAUCUGGUACUGUAUCAAAACACCUGCAUUAAACCACAUGAACUAACAAACCUUUGUUCAGAUACUGUCAGAGAGGUGAGAGGGAGAUUUAACAUGGUGCCAAUAUUCUGUAACCACAGAUCAAGAAUGAGUACUAGAAUGAGCCUCCUUAUUUAAGUCAAUGAUGUCAUAAUGCUGUGCACUGGCAGACAUCCUUUCAGAGAUUCUACUGACUAUUCUAGAGACAUUCUGUCAUAACAUCUCUGAUGAUGUCACUUCCUGUUCCUCCUCAUCUCUAGUCAGUUGAGAUGAGAUGUCAGUUGGUUUUCAUGUUCAGCUCUGAGAGUCAACAUGUACAAACAUUUCUUCAUUAUCAUUGUUCUACAUCUUUGGCUCACAGGUCUCUCUCUCAGUGUUGAGGUUCACCAAACUCCCUCUGAAGUCUUCAGUAGACCUGGAGAGAAUGUUCAACUCUUCUGCCACCAUAACAAAUCUGACUAUAGGGUUAUUUUGUGGUACCAGAAAUUACAAGGAGAAACUGCACUAAAACUCAUAGGAUAUCUGUAUUAUCAGAAUCCAACCAUUGAAAGUUCAUAUGGAAAGCAUUUCAACAUGAGCGGGGAUUUGGGCGGAGAUCGUCCGAAGAAUGUCUCUCUUAAUAUUUUCAAUUUUCAACAUCCCGAACACAGCGCUAUGUAUUUCUGUGCUGCUAGUGAUGCACAGUGUUGCACAAGCCCCUCUCUACACUACAAAAACCCCUCUCAGUAGAUUAUACAAUAACGAUUUAACAUCUUCCUCACACCUGUUUUUGAGGUCUGGAUUUGAAUCAGUGUCAAUUUAACAGGGAUUUGUCUUGACAUCACUGAUGAGGUCACUUCCUGUUCCUCCUGCUCUCCAGUUAGUUGAGAUGGUUUGUUGGUUGUUUCAGAUUAGUUGGUUGUUGAUGAUCAUCAACGAUGAGGUCACUUCCUGUUCCUCCUGCUCUCCAGUCAGUUGAGAUGGUUUGUUGGUUGUUUCAGAUUAGUUGGUUGUUGAAGAUCAUCACUGACAGUCAACAUGUACAAACCUCUUAUCAUAUACACACUACUUUUCUUCACAGGUAAGAGUCCAGGAAAUGAUCGUGUUUUAGAUUCAUAGUAUGGGUAUGGUAUGUUCAUUCCUUAUCUAUUCAUAUGAUAGUGAAAGUGUUCUCUCCAUCUCUCCCCAGCUCUCUCUCCCAGUGUUGAAGUUCACCAAACUCCCUCUGCAGUCUUCAGCAGACCUGGAGAGAACGUUUAACUCUUCUGCCACCAUAACAAAUCUGACUAUAGGGUGAUGUUGUGGUACCGGCGUACACCUGGAAAAGCAGCACUGAAACUCAUAGGAGAUCUGUAUUAUUAGAAUACAACCAUUGAAAGUUCAUAUGAAAAGU